GCAUAUCAAUAAGCGGAGGAAAAGAAACCAACAGGGAUUGCCCUAGUAACGGCGAGUGAAGCGGCAACAGCUCAAAUUUGAAAUCUGGCUCUCGGGCCCGAGUUGUAAUUUGUAGAGGAUACUUUUGAUGCGGUGCCUUCCGAGUUCCCUGGAACGGGACGCCAUAGAGGGUGAGAGCCCCGUCUGGUUGGAUGCCAAAUCUCUGUAAAGUUCCUUCGACGAGUCGAGUAGUUUGGGAAUGCUGCUCUAAAUGGGAGGUAUAUGUCUUCUAAAGCUAAAUACCGGCCAGAGACCGAUAGCGCACAAGUAGAGUGAUCGAAAGAUGAAAAGCACUUUGAAAAGAGAGUUAAAAAGUACGUGAAAUUGUUGAAAGGGAAGCGUUUAUGACCAGACUUGGGCUUGGUUAAUCAUCUGGGGUUCUCCCCAGUGCACUUUUCCAGUCCAGGCCAGCAUCAGUUUUCCCCGGGGGAUAAAGACUUCGGGAAUGUGGCUCUCUUCGGGGAGUGUUAUAGCCCGUUGUGUAAUACCCUGGGGGGGACUGAGGUUCGCGCAUCUGCAAGGAUGCUGGCGUAAUGGUCAUCAACGACCCGUCUUGAAACACGGACCAAGGAGUCGUCUUCGUAUGCGAGUGUUCGGGUGUCAAACCCCUACGCGUAAUGAAAGUGAACGCAGGUGAGAGCUUCGGCGCAUCAUCGACCGAUCCUGAUGUUCUCGGAUGGAUUUGAGUAAGAGCAUACGGGGCCGGACCCGAAAGAAGGUGAACUAUGCCUGUAUAGGGUGAAGCCAGAGGAAACUCUGGUGGAGGCUCGCAGCGGUUCUGACGUGCAAAUCGAUCGUCAAAUAUGGGCAUGGGGGCGAAAGACUAAUCGAACCUUCUAGUAGCUGGUUUCCGCGA
rnacentral:rRNA from 1 species